rnacentral:rRNA from 2 species
UGCCUAACACAUGCAAGUCGAACGAACUCUGCUGAUGAUUGAAGCUUGCUUCAUGAAUCAGAUUUGAGUGAGUGGCGGACGGGUGAGUAACACGUGGGUAACCUGCCCAAAAGUGGGGGAUAACAUUUGGAAACAAGUGCUAAUACCGCAUAACAACUACUUUCACAUGAUCGUAGCUUGAAAGAUGGCUCUGCUAUCGCUUUUGGAUGGACCCGCGGCGUAUUAGCUAGUUGGUGAGGUAAUAGCUCACCAAGGCAAUGAUACGUAGCCGACCUGAGAGGGUAAUCGGCCACAUUGGGACUGAGACACGGCCCAAACUCCUACGGGAGGCAGCAGUAGGGAAUCUUCCACAAUGGGCGAAAGCCUGAUGGAGCAAUGCCGCGUGAGUGAAGAAGGUUUUCGGAUCGUAAAACUCUGUUGUUGAAGAAGAACAUGCGUGAGAGUAACUGUUCACGUACUGACGGUAUUCAACCAGAAAGCCACGGCUAACUACGUGCCAGCAGCCGCGGUAAUACG